UACAGAGGUCUCAAGCGUUGUUCGGAAUCACUGGGCUUAAAGGGCGCGUAGGCGGCUUUGCAAGUCCGGGGUGAAAGCCCCCAGCUCAACUGGGGAAGUGCCUCGGAUACUGCGGAGCUCGAGGGAGGUAGGGGCGGAUGGAACUUCCGGUGGAGCGGUGAAAUGCGUUGAUAUCGGAAGGAACGCCGGUGGCGAAAGCGAUCCGCUGGCCCUCUACUGACGCUGAGGCGCGAAAGCCAGGGGAGCAAACGGG
rnacentral:rRNA from 1 species